GAACUUCACCCGCGGUACAGUACGGCCUGAGCAUUUUGUUCCAGCACCGGUGUGAGGAAAACAUCUGAGCCCAUGAAUUGCCAGAUCCUGGAUACCAGAGACACAUCGUCUUGCUUCUCAGGUUUGGAGUACAUAAUGAGGAGAAAUAAAAACAAAAAGAUCUCCAGAAAGAAGCCAUGGGUGGAGCACAGAGGACGACUAGAUUAAAUGCAAAGACUGCCCAGGCAUCCCAGUGCCCCCCAUUGACGUUCCAGAACUUCGUCAAGACAGUGAUGAGCUACAUGUCCACCUGGAGGAGGACCAUGCAGAAUACCUUCCAGCGCCAUGAACACUAGUCAGUCAGUAAUGCUGAACUUCUCGUUGUGCUCCAGCUCAGUUUUCUCAUGUUUGAUGAUAGUUCAGGAUCAAGCUCAGAAGCUCACAGCUGCCAGCAAGCACUCUACUACUGAACUGCACCAUCUCUCCAGCCCAUGCUUACUCUUGACUAGCCCCAAAGUAGUCAAUGGUAUGGCAAAAUAAACCUCCAUUUCAUUUAGAUUUUUAUAGUAUUUUUUGCCACUUAAAUUAUUUUAUGUAGUUGAGUAUGAUUUUUUUCCCUAAGGAAUUCUAUGUAUCUCAACUUCAAGAGUCUUCAACCUUUAUGUUAUACAUAAUUUCCUAUAGAUUUCAAAGUUGCUUUAAUAAAAAGUUUAAUGUUAAAA
ensembl:processed_transcript 5530601H04Rik uncharacterized LOC110287359